UACGUAGGUGGCAAGCGUUGUCCGGAUUUAUUGGGUUUAAAGGGUGCGUAGGCGGCCUUGUAAGUCAGUGGUGAAAUACUCUAGCUUAACUAGAGGGGUGCCAAUGAUACUGCAGGGCUUGAGUACAGAUGAGGUAGGCGGAAUUGACGGUGUAGCGGUGAAAUGCAUAGAUAUCGUCAAGAACACCUAUAGCGAAGGCAGCUUACUGGGCUGUAACUGACGCUGAGGCACGAAAGCCAGGGGAGCGAACGGG
rnacentral:rRNA from 1 species